GACGAGCCUCACAAACGUUAUUCGGAAUUACUGGGCUUAAAGGGUGCGUAGGCGGCGUGGAAAGUUGGGUGUGAAAUCCCUCGGCUCAACCGAGGAAUUGCGCUCAAAACUACCAUGCUCGAGGGAGAUAGAGGAAUGCGGAACUUACGGUGGAGCGGUGAAAUGCGUUGAUAUCGUAGGGAACACCGGUGGCGAAAGCGGCAUUCUGGAUCUCUUCUGACGCUGAUGCACGAAAGCUAGGGUAGCAAACGGG
rnacentral:rRNA from 1 species